rnacentral:lncRNA from 1 species
UGUAGGGGAAAUGAGGUAAAGCGAAGCAUAGUUUUGAUAUGUCACUUAUGCUACAAAAGACUACACCAGUACCAACUUUUAGCCCCACUCUGACACAAACAAAUUGGGAAACCUUUCUUUUGAAAUUCAAACACCACUACUAAAGCCUAAAAUACAAAAUUUCCUUUCCAUCUUUCACCCUCUCUUCUUCAAUUUCCUCUGAGCACAGUUUUUCGAUUUGCUCCAUUUCUCACAGCAACAAGCACACAACUGCAGCGAAGGUAAGCAAUUCAAAUCCAUUUUCGUUUUUGGAUUCCAUAUUCAUUUUCAUUUUUGGAUUCCAUAUAUAUUAUAUUUUUGUUGCUUCAAUCUAUGGUGACACAACACCUGUUUUUAAUGAUAUUGAAUGAAAGGAUGCAUUGUUUGGCAGACUUCAUGUUUUGACCUUGAACUCCUACUUUUGGUAAUUCUUUCAC